CCAGAACAGUGGAAACACUGCACAAAACUAACUCAACUAUUUUAAUUCACUUCUCAACACACAUACAUUCCACGUUUAGUUCACUGAUGAGUAAAGAAAGAUGGGGAAAAAAAGAGACUAUGCUUUGCCUGUCUCUUUCUUUCCUUCCAUGUCAUUAUUUUCAGCAUAAUAAGGUGGCUAAUGCAGGUAAGUAACACUAGUAAUAAAGAUAUGAUAGUGUUUCUUGGUCAUUUGUCUUUCUUUUUGUGUCAAAAGCAAGUUCUGGUUCAAAUGGGCGAUGUGACCUCUCAGGGCUGUCAUUUACUCAGUCAUAGACAUAAUACACUUACCUUUUACUCACUUUUGCUUUGAGUCACUGAACUCCUACACGUCAUGGAGCCACCUGAAUUUCAUGCUCACAGGACAAUAUAAACAUUAUGUGCAGAUGGGGUGGCAUGGAAGUGAGGGCACAAUGCGUAUUUCCUCUGCUCACGUGCGUGCUCCAUCUUCCCAUCAGACUUUGCUUUCAAAACAAAAGUCCAAAGAUAAAAUUAAGAAUUUCAAGAUGGUAACAACAGAGCAUUAAACUAUGCGUGGGGCUUUUCUGAAGCCUAAGCCCUGGGCUACUGCAUGCGUCGCCUGCCCUUGAAGCCAGCCCUGGCACGAGGUCCUUGGAAAUGGCUGAUGGAUUAGCCAAUGUGUUUCCCACAUGCCCGAGUGAUAAUUUAACCCAAAGUUGGCCCUCCUCCAAAUGCAGAUCACAGCAGUCUUUGACUCCACGGCACCCGCAGGGCAGAAGAGAAGCCCGUACAUGGGAAGCAUAGCCAGCAAAGCUGAUGGUGAGCUCAACGCUACCGGCUUUGAAAAACAACACUGGAUUCAGGGAUGCUCCACAGAAGUCAUUGAAUAGAGACAGCAAACACCUAUCAAGCUUUUCCCCCCGACAGACACUAUUCUGAGUGUGUUACAAUAAACAAUUUAAUUUUCGUAUCAAAUCCAUGAGGUGCUCCUACCACUGCCAUUUUAUAGAAGAAGACACAGAGGCACAAAAGACUAAAGGAACUGCCCAAAGUCACAUAGCUGUCCCAAGUUUCAGAAGCCAACUAUACCUAAACUGAAUGGAAUCAACUGAUCAUCCAGUAACUAUGAAAGAACUCUGAAGUAACCAUCAUGAGCCUGCUUAACACUUUGUGUCCUGUCAACAUAUUAAUACAAUCAAAAGCAAAGAUGACCCUCAGAUACAGAAAUCAGAAGGACCAGGCAGGUGGUGACUCAUUAAUGAAAAUAAGGAAAAAAGAAGAGCUUCCUUGACAGAGACAGGGUAAGAAUUAUGUGUUUGAUUUUAGAUAUCAUAAGUUCAACUUACCACGGACAAAUCAAAGUCCACCUGGAGAUUUCUUCUAGAAGUACUUCAAGUUGUUAGGCUGGAAAGUAACACUCAAUCUUUGCACUUUUUGAAAAGAAUCGCUUCUCAAUAUCUAUACUUUCAAAACAAGAAUCCAGAAUAUUCUGGUAAAGGAACUUCAACAGACUACCCUUUGAGACUUCCGGUUCUGAAUGUUCGGCUUAAUCUUAAGAGUGGUAAGAAAAGAAAGUAUAGACUGAGAAGAGAAGAUGGCAGAGGACAGACCCCAUGAGGAAUACCAGCAUUUGUAUGAUGGGCAACGGAGAGGAGCUAGCAAAAGAGAAGCAGAAGACAGGAAACGCUGUAUCACAAAAGUUAAGGGAACAGAGAGUUUUAAAGCAUAGGGAUGGCCAAUAAGGUCAAAUGAGUCUAUGAGACAAAGAUCACGGCCAAAAAGCUCCAUCAAACUUAGCAAUAAGGAGGUCUUCAGUGGAGUAAUAAAGGCAAAAUACGGACUGCAAUGGGUUGAACAUAACCAUGCAGGAAAGGAAGAAAGUUGAUACAGACUGCAAAAGUUUGGCUAACAAGGGUAGUAGUAAUUUAAAAAAAAUAAGGAAU
ensembl:lncRNA